UACGUAGGGUGCAAGCGUUGUCCGGAAUUAUUGGGCGUAAAGAGCUCGUAGGCGGUUUGUCGCGUCUGCUGUGAAAACGCGAGGCUCAACCUCGCGCCUGCAGUGGGUACGGGCAGACUGGAGUGCGGUAGGGGAGAUUGGAAUUCCUGGUGUAGCGGUGGAAUGCGCAGAUAUCAGGAGGAACACCAACAGCGAAGGCAGAUCUCUGGGACGUUACUGACGCUGAGACGCGAAAGCGUGGGGAGCAAACAGG
rnacentral:rRNA from 1 species